rnacentral:rRNA from 1 species
GAUGAACGCUGGCGGCGUGCCUAAUACAUGCAAGUCGAGCGAACAGACGAGGAGCUUGCUCCUCUGACGUUAGCGGCGGACGGGUGAGUAACACGUGGAUAACCUACCUAUAAGACUGGGACAACUUCGGGAAACCGGAGCUAAUACCGGAUAAUAUAUUGAACCGCAUGGUUCAAUAGUGAAAGACGGUUUUGCUGUCACUUAUAGAUGGAUCCGCGCCGCAUUAGCUAGUUGAUAAGGUAACGGCUUACCAAGGCAACGAUGCGUAGCCGACCUGAGAGGGUGAUCGGCCACACUGGAACUGAGACACGGUCCAGACUCCUACGGGAGGCAGCAGUAGGGAAUCUUCCGCAAUGGGCGAAAGCUUGACGGAGCAACGCCGCGUGAGUGAUGAAGGUCUUCGGAUCGUAAAACUCUGUUAUUAGGGAAGAACAAAUGUGUAAGUAACUAUGCACGUCUUGACGGUACCUAAUCAGAAAGCCACGGCUAACUACGUG